GGCUGGUCCGAGUGCAGUGGUGUUUACAACUAAUUGAUCACAACCAGUUACAGAUUUCUUUGUUCCUUCUCCACUCCCACUGCUUCACUUGACUAGAAAG
rnacentral:Y_RNA from 1 species